CCUACGGGAGGCAGCAGUGGGGAAUUUUGGACAAUGGGCGCAAGCCUGAUCCAGCAAUGCCGCGUGAGUGAAGAAGGCCUUCGGGUUGUAAAGCUCUUUUGUCAGGGAAGAAACGGUCUGUUCUAAUACAGCGGGCUAAUGACGGUACCUGAAGAAUAAGCACCGGCUAACUACGUGCCAGCAGCCGCGGUAAUACGUAGGGUGCAAGCGUUAAUCGGAAUUACUGGGCGUAAAGCGUGCGCAGGCGGUUUUGUAAGUUUGUCGUGAAAUCCCCGGGCUCAACCUGGGAAUGGCGAUGAAGACUGCAAGGCUAGAGUUUGGCAGAGGGGGGUAGAAUUCCACGUGUAGCAGUGAAAUGCGUAGAUAUGUGGAGGAACACCGAUGGCGAAGGCAGCCCCCUGGGUCAAAACUGACGCUCAUGCACGAAAGCGUGGGGAGCAAACAGGAUUAGAUACCCUGGUAGUCCACGCCCUAAACGAUGUCUACUAGUUGUCGGGUCUUAAUUGACUUGGUAACGCNGCUACGCGUGAGUAGACCGCCGUGGGAGGUACGGCCGCAGAUAACUACAAUAGAGUAGAGCGUGAGACGUGACGACGGACGACGACGAGGGAGGAGG
rnacentral:rRNA from 1 species